rnacentral:rRNA from 1 species
AACGAACGCUGGCGGCAUGCCUAACACAUGCAAGUCGAACGAGAUCUUCGGGUCUAGUGGCGCACGGGUGCGUAACGCGUGGGAAUCUGCCCUUUGGUUCGGAAUAACAGUUGGAAACGACUGCUAAUACCGUAUGAUGACGAAAGGCCAAAGAUUUAUCGCCAGUGGAUGAGCCAGCGUAGGAUUAGCUAGUUGGUGUGGUAAAGGCGCACCAAGGCGACGAUCCUUAGCUGGUCUGAGAGGAUGAUCAGCCACACUGGGACUGAGACACGGCCCAGACUCCUACGGGAGGCAGCAGUGGGGAAUAUUGGACAAUGGGCGAAAGCCUGAUCCAGCAAUGCCGCGUGAGUGAUGAAGGCCUUAGGGUUGUAAAGCUCUUUUACCCGGGAUGAUAAUGACAGUACCGGGAGAAUAAGCUCCGGCUAACUCCGUGCCAGCCGCCGCCGUAA